rnacentral:rRNA from 1 species
GACGAACGCUGGCGGCGUGCUUAACACAUGCAAGUCGAACGAUGAAGAAAAGAAUCGAAGCUUCGGCAGACAUUCAUUUCGGAUUAGUGGCAGACGGGUGAGUAACGCGUGAGCAACCUACCUCUUACAAAGGGAUAGCCUCGGGAAACCGGGAUUAAUACCAUAUAACAUUGCGACGAAGCAUUUCGAUGCAAUCAAAGCUACGGCGGUAAGAGAUGGGCUCGCGUCCCAUUAACCGGAUGGUGAGGUAACGGCUCACCAUAGUGACGAUGGGUAACCGGCCUGAGAGGGUGAACGGUCACACUGGAACUGAGACACGGUCCAGACUCCUACGGGAGGCAGGAGUGGGGAAUAUUGCACAAUGGAGGGAACUCUGAUGCAGCGACGCCGCGUGAGUGAUGAAGGAAUUCGUUUCGUAAAACUCUGUUCUAUGGGAAGAAAAGGACUGUACCAUAGGAGAAAGCUCCGGCUAAAUACGUG